GUCCUAGCCGUAAACGGUGAUCACUAGGUGUUGGGAGCAUCGACCCUUCCAGUGCCGCAGCUAACGCAUUAAGUGAUCCGCCUGUGGAGUACGGCCGCAAGGUUGAAACUCAAAGGAAUUGACGGGGGCCCCGCACAAGCGGUGGAGCAUGUGGUUCAAUUCGACGCAACGCGAAGAACCUUACCCAGACUUGACAUGUACUGGACAGGUGUGGAAACACAUCCUUCCUUCGGGACCAGUGCACAGGUGCUGCAUGGCUGUCGU
rnacentral:rRNA from 1 species